CCCUUAGAUGUCCUGGGCUGCACGCGCGCUACACUGAUGUGUCCAGUAAGCACCUAACCUCUUCCGAAAGGAACGGGUAACCUUUGCAAAGCACAUCGUGAUGGGGAUAGAUUAUUGCAAUUAUUAGUCUUGAACGAGGAAUUCCUAGUAAGCACAAGUCAUCAGCUUGUGUUGAUUACGUCCCUGCCCUUUGUACACACCGCCCGUCGCUCCUACCGAAUGAAUGUUCCGGUGAGCUCUUCGGACUGCGCGGUCUGCAGUUUCUGCGUUCCGUGCGGAAAGUUGCGCAAACCUUAACAUUUAGAGGAAGGAGAAGUCGUAACA
rnacentral:rRNA from 1 species